UACGUAGGGUGCGAGCGUUGUCCGGAAUUACUGGGCGUAAAGAGCUCGUAGGUGGUUUGUCGCGUUGUUCGUGAAAACUCACAACUCAAUUGUGGGCGUGCGGGCGAUACGGGCAGACUGGAGUACUGCAGGGGAGACUGGAAUUCCUGGUGUAGCGGUGGAAUGCGCAGAUAUCAGGAGGAAUACCCAUAGCGAAGGCAGCUCGCUGGGACGUUACCGACGCUGAGGCGCGAAAGCGUGGGGAGCGAACAGG
rnacentral:rRNA from 1 species